rnacentral:rRNA from 1 species
CCGGCGACCGGCGCACGGGUGAGUAACACGUAUGCAACCUGCCCGUCUCAGGGGGAUAAUCGUCGGAAACGGCGUCUAAUACCCCGUAUGAAGCUGGACGGCAUCGUCUGGGUUUUGAAAGAAUAUCGGAGACGGAUGGGCAUGCGGCGCAUUAGCUAGUUGGCGGGGUAACGCCCACCAAGGCGACGAUGCGUAGGGGUUCUGAGAGGAAGGUCCCCCACACUGGUACUGAGACACGGACCAGACUCCUACGGAAGGCAGCAG